AUUCACGACAUGACUUGACGUGCCCAGCUACCGCUGUCUUGGCCCGCUCACCGCUUUAUUCCCCCAAUCGAGGCCUUUACUCUCGUGCUUUCCAUCAGAUAGCUCUCUGGGUUCUUCCACCCUCCUCUUCCCUUCCGCCAUGAACGAGGACACAUCCGGCAUGGUUUUGGAUCUCGAAGAUCCUGCUAGUCGCUACAAUAGACCGGGGGAAAUCACUACCGCCGGGGCGGAGCAGAGAAUCCACUGCUGGAGGUUCUGAAAAGGAGGCGGGGGCAGGUCUUGGGCGCUCAUCGGCACUGUCAGCCGGGGCGGAGCAGAGCAACCCGGGCGCAGGAGGUGCUGAAAAGGAGGCAUCGGCCGGUCUUGGGAGCUCAUCGGCACUCUCGGUCGUGUGCAUCUCGGCCGGAAAUUCCAGUAACGAAGCCCCCGUUCCCCUUCUGAGUCGGAAUCCGUUGAUCCGGAAAGACUUGCCUGGUGGUUAUGAGUAAAACAAAUUUUCUAGCUAUAUAUGCUAAUGAAUUGGUCAAAGUGUAUAGAUGUAUAUGUAGGUUUUGUACCUUUGUUGGGCUGUGCUCACUAUGUAUCAGAAUUAAUUGUAGGUUCCUAAACCAUUUAACUCAAUAGCCUUUCCAUUGCCAAUUUGCUGUGCAGCAUGUUGUAAAAUAUAAGUUGUAUAAUUUAAAUCCUUCAGUCUUCUACAUUUUCA